GGAGAGAUGGCCGAGCGGUCGAAGGCGCACGCUUGGAAAGCGUGUGUACCGUAAAGGUACCGUGGGUUCGAAUCCCACUCUCUCCGCCA
rnacentral:tRNA from 1 species